UUUGAUCCUGGCUCAGAUUGAACGCUGGCGGCAGGCCUAACACAUGCAAGUCGAGCGGCAGCACGGGAAGCUUGCUUCCUGGUGGCGAGCGGCGGACGGGUGAGUAAUGCAUAGGAAUCUGCCCGGUAGUGGGGGAUAACCUGGGGAAACCCAGGCUAAUACCGCAUACGUCCUACGGGAGAAAGCAGGGGCUCUUCGGACCUUGCGCUAUCGGAUGAGCCUAUGUCGGAUUAGCUGGUUGGUGAGGUAAUGGCUCACCAAGGCGACGAUCCGUAGCUGGUCUGAGAGGAUGAUCAGCCACAUCGGGACUGAGACACGGCCCGAACUCCUACGGGAGGCAGCAGUGGGGAAUAUUGGACAAUGGGCGCAAGCCUGAUCCAGCCAUGCCGCGUGUGUGAAGAAGGCCCUCGGGUUGUAAAGCACUUUCAGUGGGGAAGAAAGCCUUCCGGUUAAUACCCGGGAGGAAGGACAUCACCCACAGAAGAAGCACCGGCUAACUCCGUGCCAGCAGCCGCGGUAAUACGGAGGGUGCGAGCGUUAAUCGGAAUUACUGGGGCGUAAAGCGCGCGUAGGUGGCUUGAUAAGCCGGUUGUGAAAGCCCCGGGCUCAACCUGUGAACGGCAUCCCGGAACUGUCAGGCUAGAGUGCAGGAGAGGAAGGUAGAAUUUCCCGGUGUAGCGGUGAAAUGCGUAGAGAUCGGGGAGGAAUACCAGUGGCGAGCGCCUUCUGGACUGACCACUGACCACUGAGGUGCGAAGCGUGGGUAGCAAACAGGAUUAGAAUACCCUGUAGUCCACGCCGUAAACGAUUGUCGACUAGCCGUUGGGUCCUUCGCGGACUUUGUGGCGCAGUUACGCGAUAGGUCGACCGGCCUGGGGGAGUACG
rnacentral:rRNA from 1 species